rnacentral:misc_RNA from 1 species
CGCAGGCUUGUACGGGUUGCACUUCGAGCUCCGGCGUCUUCCUCCUCGGGAGGUGACGCGGGAACGUUCGGGGAGUCUCGUCUUGCGAUGGGAUGACGCAUGAGUGGUGAUUAGGAUACGUUUCCCGCGCAGGCUCCAUGUCUCUCGCAUCGAACUGCUUGGGUGUAUCGAUUUCAUUAGUGGGUUCGCCUCGGCACUUUCAGGGUCGGUUGCGACUGCUCGUUGGGUUCCUGUGCUUGAUAUCGAAUUCGAUAGUUGGAUGGAUUGCUGUUCCCCGUCGCGAUUUAUUGAUUCUCCUCCGCCUCUUGCGGCGAUGGUGGAUAGUGGGCGCUUCGUCGUUUCCCUUUCGAGCGGUAGUUGCCCUUUGGGCGCUUCCGCUCGCGAUGGCACGUAGAUGCUGCCCGGCUCUCUCGGGUACGGAGACUUUCUGGUUACCGCAUAGGUCUCCCAUCUCUGCGAGCGUUUUGUAUCGAAGCAUCCUUGCUUCUGCGGCACGUAUGACCCUCGUUCUCGUCUUAGAGCUCACGGAGCCUCUAUGUUCGGUGUUCUUCUUGGGGAGUCACGAGGUCUACGACGGAAUGC